rnacentral:rRNA from 1 species
UACGUAGGGUGCGAGCGUUAAUCGGAAUUACUGGGCGUAAAGCGUGCGCAGGCGGCUAUGCAAGACGGAUGUGAAAUCCCCGGGCUCAACCUGGGAACUGCAUUUGUGACUGCAUGGCUAGAGUACGGUAGAGGGGGAUGGAAUUCCGCGUGUAGCAGUGAAAUGCGUAGAUAUGCGGAGGAACACCGAUGGCGAAGGCAAUCCCCUGGACCUGUACUGACGCUCAUGCACGAAAGCGUGGGGAGCAAACAGG